GCAGAGUUGGGGCUGGUGACAGACAGUGGGCUGUGUUGGUUUAUUUGGGUGGGAGGCUGGCAUGUCGCCCAUAUCCCCCAUCUACCCCUACCCCCAGAAUUCUGUGUCCAGCCAUGACAAGCAAGGGGCCCCCAAGAAGCGGAAGGCACCUCAACCCCCCAUCAAUAUCCCAAUGCCGGUGAGAGAUGCCCUGGCCGUGGGGAAGAGUUGGGAGGCUUGCCUCUAGGUAGCACGGGGAGAAAGUUCUGGCUCAGGUAUGGGAGGACGCAGUCCUUGGGCCUCCUGUAAAGGUGGUGGGGUGGGGGGCACAGGAUGACCAAGAUGCCUACGAGGAGAUCGUGCGGCUGCGACAGGAGAGGGGCCGUCUGCUACAGAAGAUCCGGGGCCUAGAGCAGCACCAGGAACGAAGAAAGCAGGAGCUGCCAGAGGCAGAGGCCAGCUCCCUCCACAGCCUGGAGAGACAGGUAGGGUGGAAGGUGGGAGGAAGUGGACCCCCAGCUGCCUGGUGUUUUCUCCUGGAGGGCCACUGAGACCACCACUCCCUCCCUGCAGGUCCAAGAGCUACAGCAGCUGCUGGCCGAGAAGCAGGAGGAGAAGGAGAGCUUGGGCCGGGAGGUGGAGAGUUUGCAGAGCAGGCUGUCCCUUCUGGAGGUGGGCCCAAUGGGGAGGAAGGCAGGGGUGGGGCCACCAGGAGGUGGGGUAUUUCUUCUGCUGCAGCUGCACGAUAACCACACUAAUACAGAUAGUCUCACACACGUGCAAACACAGAACAGACAAAUGUACAAACAUAAUCACGUAUAGAUAACAAACACACGUACACAUAAUGAACACUUUCGGAAACCUGCAAUCACCCAUACUCAUGUACGUGCAGAGACGGACAACAACAUUUAUGUAUAUGUGGUCUUACACAUGCAACAGGCAAACACACAACAAACACAUCUGUGGGUAUGUCAUCUCACCCACACAACAAAUACUUGGGCACACACAACAGAUACUUCGCAUUCAAUCACAUACCUAGGCAACACAUUCACAAAUUCAUG
rnacentral:lncRNA from 1 species